rnacentral:rRNA from 8 species
CUUAACCUUCGGGAGGGCGCUUACCACUUUGUGAUUCAUGACUGGGGUGAAGUCGUAACAAGGUAACCGUAGGGGAACCUGCGGUUGGAUCACCUCCUUACCUUAAAGAAGC